rnacentral:lncRNA from 1 species
GCCAUUUAUUUAUUUAUUGUACUGGGGAUUGAACGCAGAACUCAGCGCUUUCGAUAUAGGCGGCAGCCCCAUUGAGCUAAAUCCCCCGUCUGAAAGUAACCCUUUAAAAUGAGUAAGUAGGGCCGAGAUGGCACACGCCUGCAAUCCCAGCACUCGGGAGGCUGAGGCAGGAGGAUUGCUGCUCAUUUGAGGCCAACCUGAGCUAUGUAUUGAAUUCAAGGCCAGGAUGGACUCAAAGAGAAUAGGUAGUUUGCUGUAACUUGCCCAAGGAUUGCCCUAGAAGAAUUCCCACAAUUCAGGGUGCGGGCCCCGCCUCCUGUGGCCUUGUGCCUGUGGAUUGGCCCGUUUUGGCGCCCGGGCGUGGCUGUGGCCCAGCCGAGUCGGCCGUCGCCAUGGCCCACGCUGAGGCCCUGGGGCCUCGACGCUCGUUCUGCUCGCCUGUACCGGGUCUCCUGUGGCUCCUGCCGUGUUUGCUUGGCACUCGGGCCAACAAGCUUAACGUUCCGCAGGUGUUGCUGCCCUUCGGCCAGGAGCCAGGCCCCGCGCUCUUCCUGCUGGAGGCCGAGCGGGGCUGCUACGCCUGGUUGAUGUGA